UACGAAGGGGGCUAGCGUUGCUCGGAAUCACUGGGCGUAAAGGGUGCGUAGGCGGGUCUUUUAAGUCAGGGGUGAAAUCCUGGAGCUCAACUCCAGAACUGCCUUUGAUACUGGCGAUCUUGAGUUCGGGAGAGGUGAGUGGAACUGCGAGUGUAGAGGUGAAAUUCGUAGAUAUUCGCAAGAACACCAGUGGCGAAGGCGGCUCACUGGCCCGGAACUGACGCUGAGGUGCGAAAGCGUGGGGAGCAAACAGG
rnacentral:rRNA from 1 species